rnacentral:rRNA from 1 species
GAUGAACGCUGGCGGCGUGCCUAAUACAUGCAAGUCGAGCGAACAGAUGAGGAGCUUGCUCCUCUGACGUUAGCGGCGGACGGGUGAGUAACACGUGGAUAACCUACCUAUAAGACUGGGAUAACUUCGGGAAACCGGAGCUAAUACCGGAUAAUAUAUUGAACCGCAUGGUUCAAUAGUGAAAGACGGUUUUGCUGUCACUUAUAGAUGGAUCCGCGCCGCAUUAGCUAGUUGGUAAGGUAACGGCUUACCAAGGCAACGAUGCGUAGCCGACCUGAGAGGGUGAUCGGCCACACUGGAACUGAGACACGGUCCAGACUCCUACGGGAGGCAGCAGUAGGGAAUCUUCCGCAAAGGGCGAAAGCCUGACGGAGCAACGCCGCGUGAGUGAUGAAGGUCAUCGGAUCGUAAAACUCUGUUAUUAGGGAUGAACAAAUGUGUAAGUAACUAUGCACGUCUUGACGGUACCUAAUCAGAAAGCCACGGCUAACUACGUG